GACGAACGCUGGCGGCGCGCUUAACACAUGCAAGUCGAACGGAAAGGCCUGCUUUCCCUUGUGGAUUGCGGGUACUCGAGUGGCGAACGGGUGAGUAACACGUGAGUGAUCUGCCCCCAACUUGGGUAUAAGCCUGGGAAACUGGGUCUAAUUCCCGAUAGGACUGCAGGGUGGUGCCUGUGGUGGAAAACGAUUUUCUAGUGGUUGGGGAUGAGCUCGCGGCCUAUCAGCUUGUUGGUGGGGUAAUGGCCUACCAAGGCGGCGACGGGUAGCCGGCCUGAGAUGGUGGACGGCCACAUUGGGACUGAGAUACGGCCCAGACUCCUACGGGAGGCAGCAGUGGGGAAUAUUGCACAAUGGGCGGAAGCCUGAUGCAGCGACGCCGCGUGGGGGAUGACGGCCUUCGGGUUGUAAACUCCUUUCGACCGCGAGGAAGCCACCUGGUUGGAAGGGUGGUGACGGUAGUGGUAGAAGAAGCACCGGCUAACUACGUG
rnacentral:rRNA from 1 species